rnacentral:lncRNA from 1 species
GUGUGAAAGGCUAGUUUUGGUUGUUUUCAGGAGGUGUAGAGGUAGACCGAAGAAAUAUUAGAGGGAGAUGAUUAGACACGACAUGAAACAGUUAUAGCUUACUGUGGACAUGACUUUAGAUAGAAAGGUGCGGAGGUCGCGGAUAAGGGUAGAAGACUAGUGUGUGUGUGAGCCGUAGCAAGUAGUUAGGAGAGCUCUUGUGUUGCCGGGUUAGUAAUCCUAGGGCUGUGUCCAUAAGUAUGAGCAGCUAGUUAGGAGAGGUU